rnacentral:rRNA from 1 species
AACGAACGCUGGCGGCAUGCCUAACACAUGCAAGUCGAACGAUGCCUUCGGGCAUAGUGGCGCACGGGUGCGUAACGCGUGGGAACCUGCCCUUGGCUUCGGAAUAACAGUUAGAAAUGACUGCUAAUACCGGAUGAUGUCUUCGGACCAAAGAUUUAUCGGCCAGGGAUGAGCCCGCGUAGGAUUAGGUAGUUGGUGGGGUAAAGGCCUACCAAGCCGACGAUCCUUAGCUGGUCUGAGAGGAUGAUCAGCCACACUGGGACUGAGACACGGCCCAGACUCCUACGGGAGGCAGCAGUGGGGAAUAUUGGACAAUGGGGGGAACCCUGAUCCAGCAAUGCCGCGUGAGUGAUGAAGGCCUUAGGGUUGUAAAGCUCUUUUACCAGGGAUGAUAAUGACAGUACCUGGAGAAUAAGCUCCGGCUAACUCCGUGCCAGCCGCCGCCGUAAUAC